rnacentral:rRNA from 1 species
AACGAACGCUGGCGGCAGGCCUAACACAUGCAAGUCGAGCGAAGCCUUCGGGCUUAGCGGCGGACGGGUGAGUAACGCGUGGGAACGUGCCCUCUGGUACGGAAUAGCCCCGGGAAACUGGGAGUAAUACCGUAUGUGGUCGAGAGACGAAAGAUUUAUCGCCAAAGGAUCGGCCCGCGUUGGAUUAGGUAGUUGGUGGGGUAAUGGCCUACCAAGCCGACGAUCCAUAGCUGGUUUGAGAGGAUGAUCAGCCACACUGGGACUGAGACACGGCCCAGACUCCUACGGGAGGCAGCAGUGGGGAAUCUUAGACAAUGGGGGAAACCCUGAUCUAGCCAUGCCGCGUGAUCGAUGAAGGCCUUAGGGUUGUAAAGAUCUUUCAGUGGGGAAGAUAAUGACCGUACCCACAGAAGAAGCCCCGGCUAACUCCGUGCCAGCCGCCGCGGUAACAC